AGAGUGAACGCUGGCGGUAGGCCUAACACAUGCAAGUCGAACGGCAGCACAGUGGUAGCAAUACCAUGGGUGGCGAGUGGCGGACGGGUGAGGAAUACAUCGGAAUCUACCUUUUCGUGGGGGAUAACGUAGGGAAACUUACGCUAAUACCGCAUACGCCCUUCGGGGGAAAGCCGGGGAUCGCAAGACCUGGCGCGGAUAGAUGAGCCGAUGUCGGAUUAGCUAGUUGGUGAGGUAAUGGCUCACCAAGGCGACGAUCCGUAGCUGGUCUGAGAGGAUGAUCAGCCACACUGGAACUGAGACACGGUCCAGACUCCUACGGGAGGCAGCAGUGGGAAUAUUGGACAAUGGGCGCAAGCCUGAUCCAGCCAUACCGCGUGGGUGAAGAAGGCCUUCGGUUGUAAA
rnacentral:rRNA from 1 species